rnacentral:lncRNA from 1 species
AAAUUUACUUUUACUUGGGGAAAAAUGAUGAGUUAGUCAUUAAAGAGCUAUUAAGUGAUGUUGAUUAGGAAAGACUUUUUAACCAGUCAUUUUGUCUCACAACCAAUGCUGAAAUUUCUCCAACCUCAGCAUUCUGCUUAGACAUCACAGGGAACUGUGGUCACUGGCACAUCUGGAUCUGGACCAACUUGUCUUUUCAUUAAUGUAAAUCAUUAUGAUGUAAUUACUCAGCCUGCAAUGUAGAGAUCAUUGAUUUCUUUUGCCCAGUAGCAGUACUUUUAAGUCACUGAUGACAAAGGGAACUUUCAGGACAAUCCAAACUAUACAAAUUAGCUCCAGUUCAAGAAAGGCAAACUUAUUUAAAAGGUUCCAACACUAAAUUUCAUCCUAAGAUUUUCUCUUUGCUUGGAAUAAAUUAAGCAAGGAAAGUUGAUUCCUUCAUGUUGCUUUAAUUACUUUUGGUAAUGUAUUUUACUCAUCAAAUUUCUAAGACAAUAACACUUUAGUGUUCUUUCCCCAAAUGGACUUGUGUUUUGUCCCUACCAUGGUCCCAUAUCAUGUCCCAACUCUCAGGGGAGUCAGUCACUUUUCUGAGAAUGCCAUUAACUCCUUUGGAGAGAGAUACCCUAAUAUAAGCAGGCUCAUAGUCUUUUGAUUUUUUAGGAUCUUGUUUCUCUGAGCCCAGAGAUGUCCUCAAACACUGCCUUUCAGAAAAGCAGAUUGCUAUCUGGAUGAUGACAUCCGUAUGUGUAGCAGCCCUGUGGCUAUUAGUUUCUUACAUUUUGUGAUGGAUUUUACGAUUGACCCAGAUUCUUUAUCCCUCCCAGCAUCUAAAGCCCUGCCUUAGCCUCAUUGUGGGAAGGGCACUUCUCCAUUUCCAACUUUGGGCUCAGUAAUAGGAUUUGUUUUGACAAAUGACAUGUAGGUAAAAGUGGCAAUGAGCCAGUUCCAAGCUAAGCCUCUAAAUAUUCUGCUGUUUCUGCUUUCCCCUUUGCAUGUCUACCAUGACCAUGAGAAAUUCAUGCCUAGCCAGCCCAUGGAUGCCAGAAGGAUGAGAGAGAUUGGAAAAGAGCUAUUCCAGCUGAGCCCUGCCUAAAUCCACAGAACUCCAGCCAAAUCAUGCCCACAUCUAGCAGUUUUCACGUGGACUAUUCUCUACCAUCCUGAGUUCACAUGUAAGUACUGUGUUCAGAUUUAGUAUGUACUACCUUGAAAGACCACGGGGCCCAUUGUGCAGGAAAUCCUUGGUAGGAAGAAAAAUAGGUAACCCAAGAGCAUAGAUUUUGGAAUG